UACGUAGGGUGCGAGCGUUAAUCGGAAUUACUGGGCGUAAAGCGUGCGCAGGCGGUUCGUUGUGUCUGUGGUGAAAGCCCCGGGCUUAACCUGGGAAUGGCCAUGGAAACUGGCGAGCUGGAGUGUGGCAGAGGGGGGUGGAAUUCCGCGUGUAGCAGUGAAAUGCGUAGAGAUGCGGAGGAACACCGAUGGCGAAGGCAGCCCCCUGGGCUAACACUGACGCUCAGGCACGAAAGCGUGGGGAGCAAACAGG
rnacentral:rRNA from 1 species